UACGAAGGGGGCUAGCGUUGCUCGGAAUCACUGGGCGUAAAGGGUGCGUAGGCGGGUCUUUAAGUCAGGGGUGAAAUCGCCGAAGGCUCAACCUUGGAACUAGCCUUUCUGAUACUGGAGACUUGUAGUCCGGGAGAGGUGAGUGGAAUUGCGAGUGUAGAGGUGAAAUUCGUAGAUAUUCGCAAGAACACCAGUGGCGAAGGCGGCUCACUGGCCCGGAACUGACGCUGAGACGACGAAGCGGUGGGAGCAACAGG
rnacentral:rRNA from 1 species